UGAAUGGGGCAACCCUUAGAACGGCCAGCUGAAUAUAUAGGCUGGCGCGAGCCAACCCAGCGAACUGAAACAUCUUAGUAGCUGGAGGAAAGGAAAGUAAAAACGACUCCCUAAGUAGCGGCGAGCGAACGGGGAAGAGCCUAAACCAAUGGUUUCGACCAUUGGGGUUGUGGGACAGCAACGUGGAUCAGGAAUGUUAGUGGAAGUGUUUGAAAGACACGCCAUAGAAGGUGAAAGCCCCGUACACGAAAACUGAACUGACCUAGCUGUAUCCCGAGUAGCACGGAGCACGUGGAAUUCCGUGUGAAUCAGCGAGGUCCGGAAAGUAAGGCUU
rnacentral:rRNA from 1 species